rnacentral:rRNA from 1 species
ACAUUUGGCCAAUUAUGAAUGAUCAUCCGAACAUCAGAACUCCGCAGUUAAGCAUGCUUGGGCGAGAGUAGUAUUAGAAUGGGUGACUUUCUGAAAAGUCCUCGUGUUGCAUCCC